rnacentral:misc_RNA from 1 species
GAUGAAGAACGCAGCGAAAUGCGAUAAGUAAUGCGAAUUGCAGAAUUUCCGUGAGUCAUCGAAUCUUUGAACGCACAUUGCGCCCACUGGUAUUCCGGUGGGCAUGCCUGUUCGAGCGUCAUUAUCCUCCCUCAAACCCCGGGUUUGGUGUUGGACCGAAGUUGUGUGAACAACUGGUCUCAAAGACAAUGACGGCGUCCGUGGGACCCUCAGUGCAUCGAGCUUGCAUAAGCACGCAUUGAGUUGCAAGGUCCUUCCGGGCCGGUCUACUUUUACAUUUUCUGAAAGUUGACCUCGGAUCAGGUAGGAAUACCCGCUGAACUUAAGCAUAUCAAUAAGCGGAGGA